rnacentral:lncRNA from 1 species
AAGAUUCCCCCCCCCCCCCCCCUCAACUUUUCUUUCUUCACCAUUAGAAGAAAAUACAUACCCAUCAUCUUCUUCACUAAAAAACUCUAAGACACAAGAGAGACCGGCCGACAUCCCAAUGACCCCAACACCUCCCAUCUGCCACCAGCCAACCGACGAACCAGACCCCCCAAUACCUCUUGAAACCAAACGACCUCCACACUUUCAAAGAACGACAACCAUGAACACCGGUGAGACAUCGAAGAACUCACCGAAUCCGCUGCGGAUCUGGACAGAAACUCGCCACUUUUGCUUUGUCUCAUCACUCUCUAGAUCUGGCCGGUUUUACCUCUGCCUGUGACCCUUUCCUUCUUUGUCUUUUGAUAAAACUAGGGUCUAAAGAUGGCUUAUCUCGUUGGCCGAAUUUUGAGAUCAUGUUAUUUCGUGGCUACACCUAGUUUGGUGGUUUAUUUUGAUGUUUGUUCAAGGUUCCCAUCGAAACCCGUGGCCGGCAAUCUUUCCUGGCUUUGUGUGUUCUGACGUUGAAGUGUUUGAGGUUCUGCUUGCUAGUUCUGCUCGUAGUUCAUGGUUCCGUUUCAGAAUUCGACAACUUUAUUUGGUCUCUGCUUGGAAAUCCAUAUACGUUCUUUCAAAAGCUUUAUAGGAAACCCGAAUCUGUUAUAUUCUAAAUUAAUUUCUUACUUUGAUUUCUUAAUGUUCUGUCCAUGCUCCUGUUAUCAAUCUUUGAUGAUUUUGCGUAAUGUAAAAUUGUUCUGCCGUCUCAUUGUUUGUUUUAGAUCUGCUUGACUUGAUUCAUUUUGUUGAGUUUUCAUUUGAUUUUGGGUAUUAGUUUCAUCCAUUUUAGAAGGUGAAUGCACUUCGUCUGUUUGGUCAAAAUUCGUCGAGAGCAUAUUAGAAUUAAAGGCAAGUUUUGGAUCGUG